UACAGAGGCCCCAAGCGUUACUGAGAAUCACUGGGUUUAAAGGGUGCGUAGGUGGCGCGUUAAGUCCGUUGUGAAAUCCCUGGGCUCAACCUAGGAACUGCUUCGGAUACUGGCGCGCUUGAGGCCGGUAGGGGUCACUGGAACUGACGGUGGAGCGGUGAAAUGCGUAGAUAUCGUCAGGAACGCCGAUGGUGAAGACAGGUGACUGGGCCGGAACUGACACUGAGGCACGAAAGCGUGGGGAG
rnacentral:rRNA from 1 species